AUACUUACCUGGCAGGGGAAAGACCAUGAUCACGAAGGUGGUUUUCCCAGGGCGAGGCUUAUCCAUUGCACUCCGGCUGCGCUGACCCCUGCGAUUUCCCCAAAUGCGGGAAACUCGACUGCAUAAUUUGUGGUAGUGGGGACUGCGUUCGCGCUUUCCCUG
ensembl:snRNA U1 U1 spliceosomal RNA